rnacentral:rRNA from 1 species
UACGUAGGGUGCAAGCGUUACUCGGAAUUACUGGGCGUAAAGGGUGCGUAGGCGGUUCGUUAAGUCUGUCGUGAAAUCCCCGGGCUCAACCUGGGAAUGGCGAUGGAUACUGGCGAGCUAGAGUGUGUCAGAGGAUGGUGGAAUUCCCGGUGUAGCGGUGAAAUGCGUAGAGAUCGGGAGGAACAUCAGUGGCGAAGGCGACCAUCUGGGACAACACUGACGCUGAAGCACGAAAGCGUGGGGAGCAAACAGG